AGCCUAACACAUGCAAGUCGAACGCGAAAGUCCCGCAAGGGAUCAGUAGAGUGGCAAACGGGUGAGUAACGCGUGGGUGACCUGCCUUCGAGCGGGGGAUAACGUUCCGAAAGGGACGCUAAUACCGCAUAACAUCCUGCUUUUUAAGAGGUGGAGAUCAAAGCCGGGGAUCGCAAGACCUGGCACUCGAAGAGGGGCCCGCGUCCGAUUAGCUAGUUGGUGGGGUAAUGGCUCACCAAGGCUCCGAUCGGUAUCCGGCCUGAGAGGGCGGACGGACACACUGGGACUGAGACACGGCCCAGACUCCUACGGGAGGCAGCAGUGGGGAAUUGUUCGCAAUGUGGGCGCAAGCCUGACGACGCAACGCCGCGUGGAGGAUGAAGAUCUUCGGGUCGUAAACUCCUUUCGAUCGAGACGAACGGCUUCCGGGUGAACAAUCCGGGAGAGUGACGGUACCGAGAGAAGAAGCCCCCGGCUAANUCCGUGCCAGCCAGCCGCGGUAAAUACGGGGGGGGGCAA
rnacentral:rRNA from 1 species